AGAGUUUGAUCCUGGCUCAGAACGAACGCUGGCGGCGUGGAUAAGACAUGCAAGUCGAACGCUGAUUAGAGGGUAGCAAUAUUCUCUAGUUGGAGUGGCGCAAGGGUGCGUAACACGUGGGUAAUCUGCCGUGAAGACUGGGAUAACUCGCUGAAAGGCGAGCUAAUACCGGAUGUGACUGUUGGGAGGCAUUUCUCGACAUUCGAAGCUGGGGACCGCAAGGCCUGGCGCUUCACGAUGAGCCCGCGGCCUAUCAGCUAGUUGGUGAGGUAACGGCUCACCAAGGCUAAGACGGGUAGCUGGUCUGAGAGGACGACCAGCCACACUGGAACUGAGACACGGUCCAGACACCUACGGGUGGCAGCAGUCGAGAAUUUUUCACAAUGGGCGCAAGCCUGAUGGAGCGACGCCGCGUGGGGGAUGAAGGGUUUCGAUCCGUAAACCCCUGUCAUUUGCGAACAAACCUUAUCGUUGAACAGGCGAUGAGCUGAUUGUAGCGAAAGAGGAAGGGACGGCUAACUCUGUGCCAGCAGCCGCGGUAAUACAGAGGUCCCAAGCGUUGUUCGGAUUCACUGGGCGUAAAGGGUGCGUAGGUGGCCAGGUAAGUUUGAUGUGAAAGCUCGGAGCUUAACUCCGAAAUGGCAUUGAAUACUAUCUGGCUGGAGGGUCGGAGGGGAGACUGGAAUUCUCGGUGUAGCAGUGAAAUGCGUAGAUAUCGAGAGGAACACCAGUGGCGAAGGCGAGUCUCUGGACGAAUCCUGACACUGAGGCACGAAAGCUAGGGGAGCAAACAGGAUUAGAUACCCUGGUAGUC
rnacentral:rRNA from 1 species